rnacentral:rRNA from 1 species
UACGUAGGGUGCAAGCGUUAAUCGGAAUUACUUGGCGUAAAGCGUGCGCAGGCGGUGAUGUAAGACAGAUGUGAAAUCCCCGGGCUCAACCUGGGAACUGCAUUUGUGACUGCAUCGCUGGAGUGCGGCAGAGGGGGAUGGAAUUCCGCGUGUAGCAGUGAAAUGCGUAGAUAUGCGGAGGAACACCGAUGGCGAAGGCAAUCCCCUGGGCCUGCACUGACGCUCAUGCACGAAAGCGUGGGGAGCAAACAGG